AUUGUCGAGGAACUUGCUCUACA
rnacentral:siRNA from 1 species